GUAUGACCUAAACCCGCAUUUUAGCCACGCAAAAGCGUGGCUUUUCAUGCAAGAUCGGAGCGGCGUUCACACAUCCCAGGUGACGACAGCGUGGUUCCAUGAGCACGAAGAAGUCCGAGUUAUGGAUUGGCCCAGCAAAUCACCGGAUUUGAAUCCCAUCGAGAACUUUUGGAGUAUCAUGGUCAGAGAAUGGAGAUCAGGCGAGGACCGGACCCGGGAAGCACUCAUGGCGCACGUGCGUCGCGUUUGGGCAGACUUACAGACAAGGGAAGACCUUUGUCUGUCCCUUGUCAAUUCUAUGCCCAAUCGCAUGCGCUGCGUCAUAGAGAAUAACGGAUCCUGGAUUGAUUACUAAUCAUCGUUUCUGUUACUCCAAAAGUUCUUAAUGGGAUUUGCUUAACAAACCAUGACUUGGACUUUGAAGUGUGAGAACCAUGCUUCGAUCUUGCAAGAAAACUGUUUGCAGAAAACGCUCUUCGACGCAAAACAGUAAGGAGUUUUCUAGGACGUUAUCUUUCCAAUUGAUACGAGAUGGCAUUUCGCACAGAGUCAUAUGUCUAGAAGCGGAAAUGCAUACCCAAAAUCCGAUCAUUCUCCCACUGCGAGGAACGAAAGAUAAGAUCAAAAAGUUACUAUUCUGCGGCCCUGUUCCGGUGUGACUGAAGUUUUCUUCUCUUCUUUCAAUCGAGGUCGGGCUCCGGUUAUUGUUGAGAACGGGUACCCUUGAACAUAUCGGCAUAGCCGUUCGUCUUACUCCGUAGUCGUUUGCAGUGGGCACUUCUUAUUCUUCCAGUGGUCACGGAGUGCCGCGUGUCCACCCCUCGCAUGGCGAUUCACCCAUAGUUUAACCGUUUUUAUGUUGCCAUAUUUUAUUCGCCGACAUUCCCUUGCUUAACCCGAAUAAUUAUUACCCCAGAC